rnacentral:rRNA from 1 species
AGUGAACGCUGGCGGUAGGCCUAACACAUGCAAGUCGAACGGCAGCACAGUAAGAGCUUGCUCUUACGGGUGGCGAGUGGCGGACGGGUGAGGAAUACAUCGGAAUCUACUUUUUCGUGGGGGAUAACGUAGGGAAACUUACGCUAAUACCGCAUACGACCUACGGGUGAAAGCAGGGGAUCUUCGGACCUUGCGCGAUUGAAUGAGCCGAUGGCGUAUUAGCUAGUUGGCGGGGUAAAGGCCCACCAAGGCGACGAUCCGUAGCUGGUCUGAGAGGAUGAUCAGCCACAAUGGAACUGAGACACGGUCCAGACUCCUACGGGAGGCAGCAGUAGGGAAUAUUGGACAAUGGGCGGAAGCAUGACCCAGCCAUACCGCGUGGGUGAAGAAGGCCUUCGGGUUGUAAAGCCCUUUUGUUGGGAAAGAAAAGCAGCAGGUUAAUACCCCGCUGUUCUGACGGUACCCAAAGAAUAAGCACCGGCUAACUUCGUG